rnacentral:snRNA from 1 species
GCCUUCGGGCAUAUGGUCUUUUGAAACGAUACAGAGAAGAUGUAAGCUGAAGCUCGCGCGUUCGAACCCGGUCACAGUCACUAAUACCCGCACAGUAGCAUGGCCCCUGCACUAAGGAUGACACGCAAAUCAAAGAGAAGCAAACUAUUUUU